rnacentral:rRNA from 1 species
CCUGGCGGCACUAGCGCGGUGGUCCCACCUGACCCCAUGCCGAACUCAGAAGUGAAACGCCGUAGCGCCGAUGGUAGUGUGGGGCCCCCCAUGUGAGGAACUGCCGGGC